rnacentral:rRNA from 1 species
GGAAUUUUCCGCAAUGGGCGAAAGUCUGACGGAGCGACGCUGCGUGAAGGAUGAAGGCCCGUGGGUUGUAAACUUCUUUUCUCGAGGAAGAAAAAAAUGACGGUAUUCGAGGAAUAAGCAUCGGCUAACUCUGUGCCAGCAGCCGCGGUAAGACAGAGGAUGCAAGUGUUAUUCGGAAUGACUGGGCGUAAAGAGUCUGUAGGCGGUUUAGAAAGUCUUUCGUGAAAUACUUCAGCUCAACUGAGGCUCCGCAAAAGAAACUUCUAGACUUGAGGAAAGUAGAGGUACAGGGAAUCUCCGGUGGAGCGGUGAAAUGCGUAGAUAUCGGAAGGAACACCAAUAUGGCGAAGGCACUGUACUGGGCUUUUCCUGACGCUAAGAGACGAAAGCUGAGGGAGUGAUUAGGAUUAGAUACCCCAGUAGUC